UCAUCUUCAAAAUCGCUUCUUUCUUCAAUUCUCAGUUCGUCAAUGGUGACUGCUCUCUUUGUCAGCCAAUCACAAAAUUUAUAAUUUUCAGUGUAUUUUUAACUUUUAAAAUACUGCCACCAAUAGUAUAUAUAUACUGUGUACUAUGUCUUGAUUUUAUAUACCCAAAUUAUAGAGACGGAAAGAGAGAGAGAGAGAGAGAGAGAGAGAGAGAGAGAGAGAGAGUCUAACUAGAAAUUUUUUUCUUUUCUUUGAAAACCUAGUGAGACUGUGUCAGACUUUGUGAAGUGAACCCCAUCAGAGUCCCAGAAUCAUGAAGAAAGGAAACUUGGGGCUUGGUCUCAAACUCUCCGUUCCUGUUUCUGAUCAAUCAAAUUUUGCCAAGUUCCUGACUGAAAGUGGGACUUUUAAGGAUGGGGAUCUGCUUGUCAACAGGGAUGGAGUUCGAAUUGUCUCUCAGAGUGAUGUCGAAGCUCCACCUCCAAUCAAGCCUACAGACGACCAGUUAACUUUGGCAGAUGUAGAUGUUAUCAAAGUUGUUGGAAAGGGAAAUGGAGGGGUAGUCCAAUUGGUACAACAUAAAUGGACUAGUCAGUUUUUUGCAUUGAAGGUACACUUGCUGCAUGUUGCAUACGAUGCUUUGAAUUUGGUGUCACUGGAAGGCACAUUAUCUGUAAUUCAAAUGAAUAUUGAGGAGUCUAUGAGAAAGCAGAUUGCACAAGAGUUGAAAAUUAAUCAACAGGCACAGUGUCCUUAUGUUGUUGUCUGCUAUCAAUCAUUUUAUGAAAACGGUGUCAUAUCAAUCAUCCUAGAGUACAUGGAUGGGGGUUCCUUAGCUGAUCUACUGAGGAAAGUUAAAACAAUUCCAGAGCCUUUUCUUGCUGCCAUCUGUAAGCAGGUGCUGAAGGGUUUAGUUUACCUUCACCAUGAAAAGCAUAUUAUCCACAGAGACUUGAAACCUUCUAAUUUGUUAAUAAAUCAUACAGGAGAAGUAAAGAUUACUGACUUCGGUGUGAGUGCAAUUAUGGAAAGUACAUCUGGUCAAGCAAAUACCUUCAUUGGAACUUACAACUAUAUGUCUCCGGAGAGAAUCAAUGGAAGCCAGCGAGGCUACAACUACAAAAGUGAUAUAUGGAGUUUGGGAUUAAUAUUGCUAGAGUGUGCUUUGGGGCGGUUUCCAUAUACACCAGAAGAUCAAAGUGAAAUUUGGGAAAGCAUUUUCGAGCUUAUUGAAACCAUUGUUGAUAAACCUCCUCCUAUUCCUCCGUCUGGACAAUUUUCUACAGAAUUCUGCUCAUUUAUCUCAGCAUGUCUACAGAAAGACCCAAAGAAUCGACUGUCAGCUCAGGAAUUAAUGGGACAUCCUUUUGUCAGCUUGUAUGAUGACUUGGAGGUGAAUCUUUCAUCUUACUUCUCCAAUGCAGGAUCUCCUCUUGCUACCUUAUGAAGGCAGAAGUAGUUUGUCUUCUGCAUUGAGGAAUUUGUUUCCUGUGACAAUGCUUUGAAGAGCACUGCUUGAAAAUAUGAGGAGCGAUUGCAGAUGAGUUGAAGAACCAGCUCCUAGAGUUACGUCAAAGAUUAUUCUGUACUUAGUUGUUGAGUGAUUGAGUUCAAGAAUUUGUUGAGAAACUCAGAUGCAAGGGUCAAGAAAUUGCAGCAAAAUGUUUAAAAUGUAUCACUGGGAUUUGUCUGAGUUGCGCUGAUAAUAUGAUCUGAUGUACAAACUUGUAUGAGAUGGAAGGUGUCAGGCAGUCCCAAAUGAACCUCAAUUCCGAGUCACGCUAGCUGAACAGUUUCUCAAGCUAUAUUUGAGACUUUGUAUUUGGUUUAGUCUUGUCAAAUUGUCUGAUUGAUCUUCGAGUGUUUAUUGCGUGCAAAUUACUAACAAUGAAAUUUACGAGUUGCUCCAA